GACGAACGCUGGCGGCGUGCCUAACACAUGCAAGUCGAACGGAACUGUUUUGAAAGUUUUCUUCGGACUGAAUUUGAUUUAGUUUAGUGGCGGACGGGUGAGUAACGCGUGAGUAACCUGCCUUCAAGAGGGGAAUAACAUUCUGAAAAGAAUGCUAAUACCGCAUGACAUAUCGGAACCACAUGGUUUUGAUAUCAAAGAUUUUAUCGCUUGAAGAUGGACUCGCGUCCGAUUAGUUAGUUGGUGAGGUAACGGCUCACCAAGACCGCGAUCGGUAGCCGGACUGAGAGGUGGAACGGCCACAGUGGGACUGAGACACGGCCCAGACUCCUACGGGAGGCAGCAGUGGGGGAUAUUGCGCAAUGGGGGCUACCCUGACGCAGCAACGCCGCGUGAAGGAUGAAGGUGUUCGGAUUGUAAACUUCUUUUAUUAAGGACGAAAAAGGACGGUACUGAAGGAAUAAGCUCCGGCUAACUACGU
rnacentral:rRNA from 1 species